GAAUUUCAAGACUACUAAGGAUGCAGCUGAGGAGGUGAGUUUUGUUGUCUUUGAGCUCUGAAAAUUGCCUCUGUUAUCUGUUAUGAUUGUCUCCAUCAAUUGGAAACCUUAUUAACAUGAAAUCCUUGUAAGCUUACCUAAAGUUUGAGCUUGGAAUUAACAAGAUUAGUAUGAUAUGUUAAAAAUAUUUCUCUCCACUUGAUCAUUAUUUUUUGGCAAUUACUAGGGCCUUAAGCGCAAAUGAACUGUCAGGGGAGGUACCAAAGGAAUUGGGACUACUUACUGACCUAUCUUUUUUGUUUUAAGUGAUCCUCAGAAGAGAGCCAUAUACGAUCAAUAUGCUGAAGAAGGUCUCAAAGGACAAGUGCCACCCCCUGAUGCAGCAGGGGGAUUCCAUACCGGUCAAAUUGAGACAUGGCGUCUAAAGCAUUAUGAUGCUGAGAAAGGAUGGACUGGAAUAGAGCUCGGGCCAUUAUAUGUAAGUAAUUUAAAUUUUUAAUUAUUUUAUUUAUUAUAUUUCUUACUAAUAAUUAAUUAAAUAUAUUAUUAGGAUAAAAUGGAGUUAAGGGGUCAACAUCCUCUAGAAGAACUGUCUGAUAAAGAGAUUAUGGAGUGUGUACUUGGACGUGAUUCAAUAUACUUGCGAGGGUGGGGGCGGUCUCCUAGUGUCACAACUUCUACUUCACAUCGUGAAAAUAUUGUGGGUAAUCAACCAACUUAUGAAGAGUUAGUUGAAUGACUUAAUGAUACAACUUCCCGCCUUAAUGCUACUAACGAACAACUUAGUGUGGUUGUGGAUAUACUUCGUCAUAGUAAUUUGAUGGCACCGCCUCCACCACCUCCAACAGACCAAGCUUCAGAUGCAAAUUUAAGAGAGUCGCCAUCUUUUUAGUUCGGGAGUCACAAGAUGAUUCUUAGUUUAUUUACAUUAAUUUACUAAGGAAUGAACUUUAUGAAGUUUUUUUUUAUUUUGGUAGGGGUAACCUUAAAAUGAUAACUUUAUGACUUAUUUUAAUAUUGAACAUUAUAAAGAAUUUUAGCAUUAAACAUUUUAUUAUUGUA